CCUACGGGUGGCAGCAGUGGGGAAUAUUGGGCAAUGGGCGCAAGCCUGACCCAGCAACGCCGCGUGAAGGAAGGAGGCUUUCGGGUUGUAAACUUCUUUCGACAGGGAAGAGCAGAAGACGGUACCUGUCGAAUAUGCCACGGCCAACUCCGUGCCCGCACCCGGGGUAAUACGUAGGUGGCAAGCGUUGUCCGGAUUUAGUGGGUUUAAAGGGUGCGUAGGGGGAUGGUUGAGUCAGCGGUAAAAGCCCGGGGCCAAACCCCGGCGAGCCGUUGAAACUGGCUGGCUUGAGAUGGCGAGGGGUAGGCGGAAUGCGCAGUGUAGCGGUGAAAUGCUUAGAUAUUGCGCAGAACUCCGAUUGCGAAGGCAGCAUACCGGCGGCGAUCUGACGCUGAGGCACGAAGGCGUGGGUAUCGAACAGGAUUAGAUACCCUAGUAGUC
rnacentral:rRNA from 1 species